rnacentral:rRNA from 1 species
GGCGGUUCGCCGCCGAUGACGUCGCGAGAAGUCCACUGAACCUUAUCAUUUAGAGGAAGGAGAAGUCGUAACAAGGUUUCCGUAGGUGAACCUGCGGAAGGAUCAUUGUCGAAUCCUAUGGGAAAAAACGACCAGAGAACCGGUUAUAAAACUCGACGAGGACGAUGGGUUUCGCCCAACGUCCCUCGACACGCCUUGGGGUUGCGCUCGAGCGCCUUGAGCGCCCGAGCGUCCCAACGGCGGAACAACGAACCCCAGCGCGGAAAGCGCCAAGGAACUCGAACAAAGAGAGCGAAGCUCCCCUCGCCCCGGGCACGGUGCGCGGGCGGGACGCCAAGCGAUCUCCUAUUAUCAUAACGACUCUCGGCAACGGAUAUCUCGGCUCUCGCAUCGAUGAAGAACGUAGCGAACUGCGAUACUUGGUGUGAAUUGCAGAAUCCCGUGAACCAUCGAGUCUUUGAACGCAAGUUGCGCCCGAAGCCGUUUGGCCGAGGGCACGCUUGCCUGGGUGUCACACAUGGCGUUGCCCCAAMCCCCUCGCCUCGAGGAAACUCGGGCGUGCGGGUGUUGGGAGCGUAGGUUGGCCUCCCGCGACGGUCUCGUCCCGGUUGGUCUAAAAUUGAGCGUCGGAGCGAUCAGCACCACGACAUUCGGUGGUUGACUAGUGCUACUAAUCAGAUGUCGCGUGUGCCCGCUCGUUUGCACGCUCUGUGGAUCAAUCCUUUACCAACGCGACCCCAGGUCAAGCGG